ACCAAGGUAUUUCCUAAGUGUAGUAAAUACUGGAGGCUUGUCUCAAGGGAAGUCUUUUUCCAAUCUUUUGCUGCCAUGAUUAGAACACUAAAUCGAGCAAGGAAUAUUAAUGCUUGUCACUUAUAUGUCACUAAAUUUGCUUUCUUUUAGGAGGAAGAUUUGGUUAAGUUCUGCCACAUCAAACUCUUAGACAGCUAGCUGCCUCAGCGUUAUGUUUAUUAAUUACUGAUGGACUUCAUGGAGUUAAUCAGCCUUUAGGCACACGCUCUGGGGAUCUAACAGAUGGCUCAGCGCCUCCAGCACCAGCUCCCCUGGGCAGCCUGCAUCGGCAGGGAGUGUUGGAUGCCAAGCAAACCUCAGGAGGGCAAUGUGACAGCUGUCCCCUUAUGGUUCCCUGGUUGCCCAGGCAUUGUUUUGCGUCAAAUGCAUCUGUUGAUGUACCUAUAUUGCCUUCUAUAAGCAUGCCACAAUGAGAGUGUUCUGAUCACCAAGGAGGAAUACAACCAGCAAAUACUCUGCCAAGAGCCCCAGCUCUGAACGCGCCGUCCCAGCACCACACAGCUCGCUUAGUACGGAUUACCACAGGUCUGUCGACAGUCCCAUGAGGCCAUGAAAACUGCAAACAUGACCAACAGGGUGACACACUUCCUGUUCAUAAUACUCACCGCUGUUAUUGCUAAUAAGUCAGUAAAAGGAGCAAGAAGCU